rnacentral:sRNA from 1 species
AGGAGUAAAAGUCGUAACAAGGUUUCCGUAGGUGAACCUGCGGAAGGAUCAUUAUCAAAAGUCAAGUCGGGGGCUGUAAAGCUCUCGUCUACUCCCAUGUCUUUUGCGUACUCUUGUUUCCUCGGUGGCGCAAGCUGCCGAUUGGACAAACCAAAACCUUUUUUGUAAUUGCAAUCAGCGUCUGACAAUAAUCUAAUUAUUUACAACUUUCAACAACGGAUCUCUUGGUUCUGGCAUCGAUGAAGAACGCAGCGAAAUGCGAUAAGUAGUGUGAAUUGCAGAAAUCAGUGAAUCAUCGAAUCUUUGAAGGCACAUUGCGCCUCUUGGUAUUCCUUGGGGCAUGCCUGUUCGAGCGUCAUUUGUACCCUCAAGCUUUGCUUGGUGUUGGGCGUCUUGUCGUAUUACGACUCGCCUUGAAUUCAUUGGCAGCCGGCAUUUUGGCCUAGGAGCGCAGCACAUUUUGCGAUCGUAGCCCGUUGUACUGGCGUCCAUCAAGAACAUUUACCACGUUGACCUCGGAUCAGGAGGGA